rnacentral:tRNA from 1 species
AGUACUACUAGUACAUAAUAGUACAACUACUACUAAUACUAGUAGUAUGUUCUAGUAGUAUAUACUAGUAUGUUCUAGUAGUAUGUACUACUA